GAUGAAGAACGCAGCGAAAUGCGAUAAGUAAUGUGAAUUGCAGAAUUCAGUGAAUCAUCGAAUUUUUGAACGCACAUUGCGCCCGCCAGUAUUCUGGCGGGCAUGCCUGUUCGAGCGUCAUUACAACCCUCAGGCCCCCGGGCCUGGCGUUGGGGAUCGGCGAGGCGCCCCCCGCGGGCACGCGCCGUCCCCCAAAUACAGUGGCGGUCCCGCCGCAGCUUCCAUUGCGUAGUAGCUAACACCUCGCAACUGGAGAGCGGCGCGGCCAUGCCGUAAAACACCCAACUUCUGAAUGUUGACCUCGAAUCAGGUAGGAAUACCCGCUGAACUUAAGCAUAUCAAUAAGCGGAGGA
rnacentral:misc_RNA from 1 species